AGUGAACGCUGGCGGUAGGCCUAACACAUGCAAGUCGAACGACAGCACAGUAAGAGCUUGCUCUUACGGGUGGCGAGUGGCGGACGGGUGAGGAAUACAUCGGAAUCUGCUUUUUCGUGGGGGAUAACGUAGGGAAACUUACGCUAAUACCGCAUACGACCUACGGGUGAAAGCAGGGGAUCUUCGGACCUUGCGCGAUUGAAUGAGCCGAUGUCGGAUUAGCUAGUUGGCGGGGUAAAGGCCCACCAAGGCGACGAUCCGUAGCUGGUCUGAGAGGAUGAUCAGCCACACUGGAACUGAGACACGGUCCAGACUCCUACGGGAGGCAGCAGUGGGGAAUAUUGGACAAUGGGCGCAAGCCUGAUCCAGCCAUACCGCGUGGGUGAAGAAGGCCUUCGGGUUGUAAAGCCCUUUUGUUGGGAAAGAAAAGCAGCAGGUUAAUACCCCGCUGUUCUGACGGUACCCAAAGAAUAAGCACCGGCUAACUUCGUG
rnacentral:rRNA from 1 species